GAUGAACGCUGGCGGCGUGCCUAAUACAUGCAAGUCGAGCGAACAGACGAGGAGCUUGCUCCUCUGACGUUAGCGGCGGACGGGUGAGUAACACGUGGAUAACCUACCUAUAAGACUGGGAUAACUUCGGGAAACCGGAGCUAAUACCGGAUAAUAUAUUGAACCGCAUGGUUCACUAGUGAAAGACGGUUUUGCUGUCACUUAUAGAUGGAUCCGCGCCGCAUUAGCUAGUUGGUAAGGUAACGGCUUACCAAGGCAACGAUGCGUAGCCGACCUGAGAGGGUGAUCGGCCACACUGGAACUGAGACACGUUCCAGACUCCUACGGGAGGCAGCAGUAGGGAAUCUUCCGCAAUGGGCGAAAGCCUGACGGAGCAACGCCGCGUGAGUGAUGAAGGUCUUCGGAUCGUAAAACUCUGUUAUUAGGGAAGAACAAAUGUGUAAGUAACUAUGCACGUCUUGACGGUACCUAAUCAGAAAGCCACGGCUAACUACGUG
rnacentral:rRNA from 1 species